UUGGGUAGGGGAGCGUUCUGUAAGCCUGUGAAGGUGUGUCGUGAGGCAUGCUGGAGGUAUCAGAAGUGCGAAUGCUGACAUAAGUAACGAUAAAGCGGGUGAAAAGCCCGCUCGCCGGAAGACCAAGGGUUCCUGUCCAACGUUAAUCGGGGCAGGGUGAGUCGACCCCUAAGGCGAGGCCGAAAGGCGUAGUCGAUGGGAAACGGGUUAAUAUUCCCGUACUUGGUGUUACUGCGAAGGGGGGACGGAGAAGGCUAUGUUGGCCGGGCGACGGUUGUCCCGGUUUAAGCGUGUAGGCUGGUUUUCCAGGCAAAUCCGGAAAAUCAAGGCUGAGGCGUGACGACGAGGCACUACGGUGCUGAAGCAACAAAUGCCCUGCUUCCAGGAAAAGCCUCUAAGCAUCAGGUAACAUCAAAUCGUACCCCAAACCGACACAGGUGGUCAGGUAGAGAAUACCAAGGCGCUUGAGAGAACUCGGGUGAAGGAACUAGGCAAAAUGGUGCCGUAACUUCGGGAGAAGGCACGCUGACACGUAGGUGAAGUGAUUUACUCAUGGAGCUGAAGUCAGUCGAAGAUACCAGCUGGCUGCAACUGUUUAUUAAAAACACAGCACUGUGCAAACACGAAAGUGGACGUAUACGGUGUGACGCCUGCCCGGUGCCGGAAGGUUAAUUGAUGGGGUCAGCGCAAGCGAAGCUCCUGAUCGAAGCCCCGGUAAACGGCGGCCGUAACUAUAACGGUCCUAAGGUAGCGAAAUUCCUUGUCGGGUAAGUUCCGACCUGCACGAAUGGCGUAAUGAUGGCCAGGCUGUCUCCACCCGAGACUCAGUGAAAUUGAACUCGCUGUGAAGAUGCAGUGUACCCGCGGCAAGACGGAAAGACCCCGUGAACCUUUACUAUAGCUUGACACUGAACAUUGAGCCUUGAUGUGUAGGAUAGGUGGGAGGCUUUGAAGUGUGGACGCCAGUCUGCAUGGAGCCGACCUUGAAAUACCACCCUUUAAUGUUUGAUGUUCUAACGUGGACCCGUUA
rnacentral:rRNA from 1 species